CAGGUAGUAACAGAGGGUUUGAUUAUGGCUCGUGAUUGAACGCUACGGCGGGAUGCUUUACACAUGCAGUCGAACGGCAGCACGGACUUUAUUCACAAGUGAGUGGCGAACGGGUGAGUAAUGUAUCGGAACGUGCCUAGUAGCGGGGGAUAACUACGCGAAAGUUGUACGCUAAUACCGCAUACGACCCUUCGGGGAGUGCGCAACUCCUUCGGGCCUCGCACUAUUAGAGCGGCCGAUAUCGGAUUAGCUAGUUGGUGGGGUAACGGCUCACUGGCGACGAUCCGUAGCUGGUUUGAGAGGACGACCAGCCACACUGGGACUGAGACACGGCCCAGACUCCUACGGAGGCAGCAGUGGGGAAUUUUGACAAUGGGGGAAACCUGAUCCAGCCAUCCCGCGUGUGCGAUGAAGGCCUCUUCGGGUUGUAAAGCACUUUUGGCAGGAAAGAAACGGCACGGGAUAAUACCCCGUGCAACUGACGGUACCUGCAGAAUAAGCACCGGCUAACUACGUGCCAGCAGCCGCGGUAAUACGUAGGGUGCAAGCGUUAAUCGGAAUUGUUACCGGGCGUAAAGCGUAAGUGCAGGCGGUUCGGAAAGAAAGAUGUGAAAUCCCAGAGCUUAACUUUGGAACUGCAUUUUUAACUACCGAGCUAGAGUGUGUCAGAGGGAGGUGGAAUUCCGCGUAGCAGUGAGAUGCGUAGAUAUGCGGAGGAACACCACAGCAGAAGCCUCCUCGGGAUAAAUACCGACGCUCAUGCACGAAAGCGUGGGGAGCAAACAGGAUUAGAUACCCGGUAGUCCACGCCCUAAACGAUGUCAACUAGCUGUUGGGGCCUUCUGGCCUUGGUAGCGCAGUCAACGUGCGCGAAGUUGACCGCCGUGAGUACGGUCGCAAGAUUAAACUCAAAGGAAUUGACGGGGACCCGCACAAACGGUGGAUGAUGUGGAUUAACUGAGUGCAACGCGAAAAACCUUACCUACUCCCUGACAUGUCUGGAAUCCCGAAGAUUUGGAGUGCUGCAAGAGAACUGGAACAGGGUUGGCUAUUACCGGCCAGCUCGUGUCGUGAGAUGUUGGGUUAAGUCCCGCAACGAGUGGCAACCUUUGUCAUUAGUUGCUACGAAAGGGCACUCGACGACUGCUGGUGACAAACCGGAGGAAAGUGGGGAUGACGUCAAGUCCUCAUGGCCCUUGCGGGUAGGGCUCACGUCAUACAAUGGCCGGGACAGAGGGCUGCCAACCGUGAGGGGGAGCCAAUCCCAGAACCUGAUCGUAGUCCGAUCGUAGCCCGCAACUCGACUGUGUGAAGUCGAACUGGCGAGACUAUGAUCAGCAUGAAGUCGCGGUGAAUACGUUCCCGGGUCUGUACACACCGCCCGUCACACCAUGGAGUGGGUUUACCAGAAGUAGUUAGCCUAACCGUAAGGAGGGCGAUUACCACGUAGGAUUCAUGACUGGGGUGAAGUCGUAACAAGG
rnacentral:rRNA from 1 species